GAUGAACGCUGGCGGCGUGCCUAAUACAUGCAAGUCGAGCGAACAGACGAGGAGCUUGCUCCUCUGACGUUAGCGGCGGACGGGUGAGUAACACGUGGAUAACCUACCUAUAAGACUGGGAUAACUUCGGGAAACCGGAGCUAAUACCGGAUAACAUGUUGAACCGCAUGGUUCAACAGUGAAAGACGGUCUUGCUGUCACUUAUAGAUGGAUCCGCGCCGCAUUAGCUAGUUGGUAAGGUAACGGCUUACCAAGGCAACGAUGCGUAGCCGACCUGAGAGGGUGAUCGGCCACACUGGAACUGAGACACGGUCCAGACUCCUACGGGAGGCAGCAGUAGGGAAUCUUCCGCAAUGGGCGAAAGCCUGACGGAGCAACGCCGCGUGAGUGAUGAAGGUCUUCGGAUCGUAAAACUCUGUUAUUAGGGAAGAACAAAUGUGUAAGUAACUAUGCACGUCUUGACGGUACCUAAUCAGAAAGCCACGGCUAACUACGU
rnacentral:rRNA from 1 species